rnacentral:rRNA from 1 species
AUGGGAUUGGAGGAGGAAAGAAGCAUGUUGGAGGCUUUCACCAGUGUGCAUGAUAUGCUGGAUGCCUUGUGGGGUUUUUCUGAAAAUAAACGAGUGCUCAUCAUCUCACUCUGGUGGCAGUGGUGGAACAAUAGGAACAAGAUCAGGGAAGGAGAGCUUGCGCCAGAGAUCACUGAAACUAUCAGAAGGGUGAGGUGUAGCGCCAUGGAGUAUGCGGACAGAUUUGUGCCUAAGAAGAAGGUAUUACAAGAGGGGAAAUGGCGGGCACCCAAUCCAGAUGAGCUCAAAAUUAACAUCGACGGGGCCUUUGUGCCUGGUAGCAACUUUUGUGGGUGGGGCGCUGUGGUUCGGGACUCGGAAGGGCAAGUUAUUGCGGCCCGGGCAGGAAGAUAG